GAAACCUCACCGGGAGAGUUCCGUCGCCACCAGCGGCGGGCGCCGAAGGAGCAACCGCCCCGGAAUCUCUCAGGCACCCGAACCGGUUUGGUCAG
rnacentral:ncRNA from 2 species